AAAUAGUCCAAGAUCUUUUUUCCUUUUUGAUUACCACUCACCAGAAUAUUGUACACAGUGCAUGGAUUUGUUGUAUUUUGAGAUAUUUCGUUAUAACUGAUAUAUUGUAACCAAAUUUCAGGCUGAAGCUGCAGCAAAGUUUUUGAAUGUCAUGAGGCACUACUUCGAUUCCCUUUGUUCAGAUUUGAGGUCGCAUACCAUAACCUGUGUAGAAUCAAACAAUGACAAGGUUUCAUUACUUCUUAAAGAUAGCUUUAUUGACUCCUUUCCCCCCAGGGACCAACCCUUCAUUAAGCAUUUUGUAGACACACAGCUUUUCUCUGUCCUAUCAGAUUCUCGCCUCUCAAGAUACGAGCAUGAGUAGAGCAUGAGUAGAUCUUAGUCCACCUAUUAUAGGUUCCAUAUAUCCUUUUGGAGCUCCAAGGUGAGAAACAAGAAUGCCACUGCCAAAGCCUGCAAUGAAAUGUGAAGCCUCAGGUUUGCAGUUGUGCUGAUGGGUCAAGAUUUUGGGAAUGGCUGACAUCUUUAACAAGCAGUGUCUUUGUGACCAUCAUCAAUCUCCUGGUAUUGGAGCUAUUAACAAGCAGCAGAAAGUCAGAAAAAUUCACGUGUACAAUAAUUCGAUGCAAAUAAUCAUGGGCUGUAACAAUGCUGCCUGCUUUACUGCUUACAUGCUAUGGAUUCUCAUCCCUGUAUUUUUAGGGGAUGUGAUGCUGGAAUUAUCAAAGUUCUGCCUCACCUCAAUGUUUUGUAAAUCUGCAAAUUAAUAAAAGAUAAAAUUUUGGGCCUGCA